GAUGAACGCUGGCGGCGUGCCUAAUACAUGCAAGUCGAGCGAACGGACGAGAAGCUUGCUUCUCUGAUGUUAGCGGCGGACGGGUGAGUAACACGUGGAUAACCUACCUAUAAGACUGGGAUAACUUCGGGAAACCGGAGCUAAUACCGGAUGAUAUUUUGAACCGCAUGGUUCAAAAGUGAAAGACGGUCUUGCUGUCACUUAUAGAUGGAUCCGCGCUGCAUUAGCUAGUUGGUAAGGUAACGGCUUACCAAGGCAACGAUGCAUAGCCGACCUGAGAGGGUAAUGGCCACACUGGGAACUGAGCCCCGGCCCAACCUCCUGGGGGAGGAACCAGUAGGAAAUCUCCCGCAGGGGGGGAACGCCUAAGGAAGAACGCCGGGGGGAGUGAUGAGGUUCUUGGGAUCUUAAACCUUUUUUUUGAGGAAAAAAAAUAUGUGAAAUUAAUUGUGCACAUCUGGCCGGUACUAAACAAAAAACCCCCGGCAACCUACGUC
rnacentral:rRNA from 1 species